UAAAAAUGAGGAUAGAGAAUGUGCCGCUAUCGCCCCUUUUAAAAAAGGUAUGGAGAUGUGGGAAAAGGCAGACCCACCGUUUUUU
rnacentral:ncRNA from 1 species